UACGAAGGGAGCUAGCGUUGUUCGGAAUCACUGGGCGUAAAGCGCACGUAGGCGGAUGUGUCAGUCAGGGGUGAAAUCCCGGAGCUCAACUUCGGAACUGCCCUUGAUACAGCACGUCUUGAGUCCGGAAGAGGUGGGUGGAAUUCCUAGUGUAGAGGUGAAAUUCGUAGAUAUUAGGAAGAACACCGGUGGCGAAGGCGGCCCACUGGGACGGUACUGACGCUGAGACGCGAAAGCGUGGGGAGCGAACAGG
rnacentral:rRNA from 1 species